GACGAACGCUGGCGGCGUGCCUAAUACAUGCAAGUAGGACGCAGGUGCGAACGGGUGAGUAACGCGUAGGUAACUACCUAUUAGAGGGGGAUAACUAUUGGAAACGAUAGCUAAUACCGCAUACUAGUAGAUGGACAUGCGUUGUAUUAGCUAGUAUGUAGGGUAAUGGCCUACCUAGGCAACGAUACAUAGCCGAACUUGGAGGGGUAUUGGCCCACCUGGGAAUGCGACACGGCCCCGAAUUCUCCGGGAGGCAACAGUAGGGAAACUUCGGGCAUUGGGGGAAACCUGAACGAGCAACCCCGCGUGAGUGAAGAAGGUUUUCGGGACGUAAAGCUCUUUUGUUAAGGAAGCGGUACUUAACCAGAAAGGGACGGCUAACUACGUGCCAGCAGCCGCGGUAAUAC
rnacentral:rRNA from 1 species